UACGUAGGGACCAAGCGUUGUCCGGAAUCAUUGGGCGUAAAGAGCGUGUAGGCGGCCUGAUAAGUAGGGGGUGAAAUCCUGCGGCUUAACCGCAGGGCUGCCUUCUAAACUGUCGGGCUAGAGCACGGUAGAGGCAGAUGGAAUUCCCGGUGUAGCGGUGGAAUGCGUAGAGAUCGGGAAGAACAUCAGUGGCGAAGGCGGUCUGCUGGGCCGUUGCUGACGCUGAGGCGCGACAGCGUGGGGAGCAAACAGG
rnacentral:rRNA from 1 species